GACGUAGGGCGCGAGCGUUGUCCGGAUUUAUUGGGCGUAAAGAGCUCGUAGGCGGCUUGUCGCGUCGACUGUGAAAUCCCGCGGCUCAACUGCGGGUCUGCAGUCGAUACGGGCAGGCUAGAGUUCGGUAGGGGAGACUGGAAUUCCUGGUGUAGCGGUGAAAUGCGCAGAUAUCAGGAGGAACACCGAUGGCGAAGGCAGGUCUCUGGGCCGAUACUGACGCUGAGGAGCGAAAGCGUGGGGAGCGAACAGGAUUAGA
rnacentral:rRNA from 1 species